rnacentral:rRNA from 1 species
UUCUAUGGAGAGUUUGAUCCUGGCUCAGGACGAACGCUGGCGGCGUGCUUAACACAUGCAAGUCGAGCGAUGAAGCACCUUCGGGUGUGAAUUAGCGGCGAACGGGUGAGGAACACGUGA